rnacentral:rRNA from 1 species
AUGGCUCGUUCUCCUCUGCUCGCGGCAGCAGUAGCACUCGUGGUGGUGGCAGGGGCCUAUGCGGCUUCAGAGCAGGACGAGCUGAAGUUGAGGCCGCCUCCGGUGGCGCCCUUCGACUUCUACAAGCGGAGCUGCCCCAAGGCGGAGUUCAUCGUGCGCGACUUUGUCCAGGACGCCGUCCGCAAGGACGUCGGCCUCGCCGUGGGCCUCCUUCGCCUCCGCUUCCACGACUGCUUCGUCCAGGGCUGCGACACGUCGCUGCUCCUGGCGCCGGGGGAGCAGCAGGCGCCGCCCAACCUCAGUCUCCGCCCUUCCGCCUUCAAGGCCAUCAACGACAUCCGGGACCAUCUGGAGCGCGAGUGCCACGGCGCCAUCGUGUCCUGCUCCGACAUCCUGGCGCUCGCCGCUCGCGACUCCGUGGUCGCCACCGGCGGGCCCGACUACCGCGUGCCCCUCGGCCGCCGCGACAGCCCCUGGUUCGCCACGCGGGACCAGGUGAUCGAAUUCCUCCCGCGGCCGUCCUCGAACGGGACAACCUUCCUUAACGUGCUCCACAAGCUUAGCCACAACCUCGAUGCCACCGACCUCGUCGCGCUCUCCGGCCGCCACACCAUCGGCGUCUGCACCUCCUUCGAGAAGCGGCUCUACCCGCGGCCGGACCCCACCAUGAACCCUUCCCUCGUCGCCAGCCUGAAGCAGACGUGCCCGGCGGAGGGCACCGUCGCCCGCACCGCGCUGGACGUGGGCACGCCCAAAGUUCGACAACCAGAGCGACUCUACCAACGGCCGGACCCCACCAUGAACCCUUCCCUCGUGGCCAGGCUGAAGCAGACGUGCCCGGCCGAGGGCACCGUCGCCCGCACCACGCUGGACGUGGGCACGCCCAAAGUGUUCGACAACAAGUACUUCCUCAACCUGUUGGACCGGAAGGGGCUCUUUGUGUCCGACCAGGACCUCUUCACCAACGCCAUCACCCUGCCCAUGAUCAAGGUUCUCACCAGCGGCCAGGGCCAGAUCUGCCGCAACUGCGCCGUCCGCAACCCCGGAACCGUCGAUGGCCUCGAGCGAUCGUCCAUCGUGCAGACCGUCAUCGACGCUACCGCCGAGAGCCUCGGGGUUCUAGAAUCUGUCUAG